UGUAUUGCUUGCCUGGAAAAUAGCUAUGACCCUAUGUAUACUGAGAAAGUAAGUAAUCACCUAAACAAGUGAUAAUUGUUAUUCUUAUCUGAAAAAAAGAUGUGAAAGAAUAGCAAAAGACUUGUCACCAAAAAUACAGUCACCAGUAAGAAAAAAAGUUACAGUCACAUCAGCUGCUGAGUUGAAACCUUUUGUUGCAUGAGGAGGACUAAAUCUAUGUUCUAAUAGGAUCCUCAGUUAUACACCACUCCCUGCCUCAUUCCAAAACUAAAAGAAGAGAUGUUCUGGUCUGGUUUCGACAAGUAAUGUUCCAGCAAUUGCACACAGUGGAGAUUUUUUCAAGGCACAUCAGGUAUAUCCUGUAUCAAAAUGGAUGGACCAUGCAAGAACACACUUCCAACACUUAACAAGUAAGUUAGUUUUCAUAAGGAUGAGAAAGUGCCUCCUGAGAAAACACAUUGCUGAGAAGAAUUAGAACACCAAAGAAAAGCUCCCUUCAGUACAUGAUCAGCAGUGAAAUUGCAGGGACUUGCAGAUAGAUUUGAAUAAACUCAUUUCUAUGAAGACAUAAGGAAGAAAUGAUCAGAAGUUCAAAGGUCAGAGCUCCCUGUUUAAUUUUUUAAUGAUUUCCAAUUCUUGAUGAGGUUCCCAGUAUCAACAUUCUGCUCAGUUAUUUGCCCAGCACUCAUCCUAUUCAUAUUUGAUAUAGGAUAAUUAGCAACUGGCCUUGAGAAGUGCAGCCCUUUCUACCAUCUGCACAAUCAAUGUUAGAAAGUGUUCUGCUUCCUAGGGA